CCGCUGAACUUAAGCAUAUCAAUAAGCGGAGGAAAAGAAACCAACAGGGAUUGCCCUAGUAACGGCGAGUGAAGCGGCAACAGCUCAAAUUUGAAACCUGGCGCUUGCGUCCGGAUUGUAAUUUGUAGAGGAUGCUUCUGGGCAGCGGCCGUUCUAAGUUCCUUGGAACAGGACGUCAUAGAGGGUGAGAAUCCCGUAUGUGACCGGCGCGCACCCUCCACGUAGCUCCUUCGACGAGUCGAGUUGUUUGGGAAUGCAGCUCUAAAUGGGAGGUAAAUUUCUUCUAAAGCUAAAUAUUGGCCAGAGACCGAUAGCGCACAAGUAGAGUGAUCGAAAGAUGAAAAGCACUUUGGAAAGAGAGUUAAAAAGCACGUGAAAUUGUUGAAAGGGAAGCGCUUCCAACCAGACUCCGCGGCGGUGUUCCGCCGGUCUUCUGACCGGUCCACUCGCCGCCGUGGGGCCAACAUCGUCUGGGGCCGCCGGAUAAGACCGGAGGAAUGUAGCUCAUUGAGUGUUAUAGCCUCCGGUGAUGCGGCGCGUCCCGGGCGAGGUCCGCGCUUCGGCAAGGAUGUUGGCGUAAUGGUUGGCAGCGGCCCGUCUUGAAACACGGACCAAGGAGUCUAACAUCUAUGCGAGUGUUCGGGUGUCAAACCCCUACGCGCAAUGAAAGUGAACGGAGGUGGGAGCUUCGGCGCACCAUCGACCGAUCCUAAUGUCCUCGGAUGGAUUUGAGUAAGAGCAUAGCUGUUGGGACCCGAAAGAUGGUGAACUAUGCCUGAAUAGGGUGAAGCCAGAGGAAACUCUGGUGGAGGCUCGCAGCGGUUCUGACGUGCAAAUCGAUCGUCAAAUUUGGGUAUAGGGGCGAAAGACUAAUCGAACCAUCUAGUAGCUGGUUCCUGCCGA
rnacentral:rRNA from 1 species